CCUACGGGAGGCAGCAGUGGGGAAUAUUGGGCAAUGGGCGCAAGCCUGACCCAGCAACGCCGCGUGAAGGAAGAAGGCUCUCGGGUUGUAAACUUCUUUUAAGAGGGAAGAGCAGAAGACGGUACCUCUUGAAUAAGCCACGGCUAACUACGUGCCAGCAGCCGCGGUGAUACGUAGGUGGCAAGCGUUGUCCGGAUUUACUGGGUGUAAAGGGCGUGUAGCCGGGCUGACAAGGCAGACGUGAAAUUCCGGGGCUCAACCCCGGACCUGCAUUUGAAACUGGUGGUCUUGAGUAUCGGAGAGGCAGGCGGAAUUCCUGGUGUAGCGGUGAAAUGCGUAGAUAUUAGGAGGAACCCCAGUGGCGAAGGCGGCCUGCUGGACGACAACUGACGGUGAGGCGCGAAAGCGUGGGGAGCAAACAGGAUUAGAUACCCCGGUAGUC
rnacentral:rRNA from 1 species